rnacentral:siRNA from 1 species
GGACAAGCCCAUGGGCGUCCCGCC